rnacentral:tRNA from 1 species
GGGCGCGUAGCUCAGUCCGGAUAGAGCGUCGGACUUCUAACCGCGGCGGCACCGCCGUCGGGGGGAGCCAUCCGACGGUCGCGGGUUCGAAUCCCGUCGCGCCCG